rnacentral:rRNA from 1 species
UACGGAGGAUGCAAGCGUUAUCCGGAAUUCUUGGGCGUAACGCGUCCGCAGGUGGUUAUCCAAGUCUGCUGUUAAAGCGCGAGGCUUAACUUCGUACAGGCAGUGGAAACUGGGUGACUGGAGUAUGGUAGGGGUAGCGGGAGUUCCCAGUGUAGCGGUGAAAUGCGUAGAUAUUGGGAAGAACACCAGCGGCGAAAGCGCGCGACUGGGCCAUUACUGACACUCAUGGACGAAAGCUAGGGGAGCGAAAGGG